rnacentral:rRNA from 1 species
ACUCCUACGGGAGGCAGCAGUGGGGAAUCUUAGACAAUGGGGGAAAGCCCUGAUCUAGCCAUGCCGCGUGAGUGACGAAGGCCCUAGGGUCGUAAAGCUCUUUCAGCUGUGAAGAUAAUGACGGUAGCAGCAGAAGAAACCCCGGCUAACUCCGUGCCAGCAGCCGCGGUAAUACGGAGGGGUUAGCGUUGUUCGGAAUUACUGGGCGUAAAGCGCGCGUAGGCGGACUAGUCAGUCAGAGGUGAAAUCCCAGGGCUCAACCCUGGAACUGCCUUUGAUACUGCUAGUCUUGAGUUCGAGAGAGGUGAGUGGAAUUCCGAGUGUAGAGGUGAAAUUCGUAGAUAUUCGGAGGAACACCAGUGGCGAAGGCGGCUCACUGGCUCGAUACUGACGCUGAGGUGCGAAAGUGUGGGAGCAAACAGGAUUAGAUACCCUGGUAGGCUCUG